rnacentral:rRNA from 1 species
AGAGUUUGAUCCUGGCUCAGGACGAACGCUGGCGGCGUGCCUAAUACAUGCAAGUCGAACGCUUCUUUUUCCACCGGAGCUUGCUCCACCGGAAAAAGAGGAGUGGCGAACGGGUGAGUAACACGUGGGUAACCUGCCCAUCAGAAGGGGAUAACACUUGGAAACAGGUGCUAAUACCGUAUAACAAUCAAAACCGCAUGGUUUUGAUUUGAAAGGCGCUUUCAGGUGUCGCUGAUGGAUGGACCCGCGGUGCAUUAGCUAGUUGGUGAGGUAACGGCUCACCAAGGCCACGAUGCAUAGCCGACCUGAGAGGGUGAUCGGCCACAUUGGGACUGAGACACGGCCCAAACUCCUACGGGAGGCAGCAGUAGGGAAUCUUCGGCAAUGGACGAAAGUCUGACCGAGCAACGCCGCGUGAGUGAAGAAGGUUUUCGGAUCGUAAAACUCUGUUGUUAGAGAAGAACAAGGAUGAGAGUAACUGUUCAUCCCUUGACGGUAUCUAACCAGAAAGCCACGGCUAACUACGUGCCAGCAGCCGCGGUAAUACGUAGGUGGCAAGCGUUGUCCGGAUUUAUUGGGCGUAAAGCGAGCGCAGGCGGUUUCUUAAGUCUGAUGUGAAAGCCCCCGGCUCAACCGGGGAGGGUCAUUGGAAACUGGGAGACUUGAGUGCAGAAGAGGAGAGUGGAAUUCCAUGUGUAGCGGUGAAAUGCGUAGAUAUAUGGAGGAACACCAGUGGCGAAGGCGGCUCUCUGGUCUGUAACUGACGCUGAGGCUCGAAAGCGUGGGGAGCAAACAGGAUUAGAUACCCUGGUAGUCCACGCCGUAAACGAUGAGUGCUAAGUGUUGGAGGGUUUCCGCCCUUCAGUGCUGCAGCUAACGCAUUAAGCACUCCGCCUGGGGAGUACGACCGCAAGGUUGAAACUCAAAGGAAUUGACGGGGGCCCGCACAAGCGGUGGAGCAUGUGGUUUAAUUCGAAGCAACGCGAAGAACCUUACCAGGUCUUGACAUCCUUUGACCACUCUAGAGAUAGAGCUUCCCCUUCGGGGGCAAAGUGACAGGUGGUGCAUGGUUGUCGUCAGCUCGUGUCGUGAGAUGUUGGGUUAAGUCCCGCAACGAGCGCAACCCUUAU